GAGGCGGGCAAGGCUUUGGGGGCGUGUCCCCUGGACGUGAGUGACAAGGUAGUGGGGGGAAAUGGGGCGGAGAAGAGGCAAAAAUCCCUGACUUGGCUGGUUUGUGGGGCAGGUUGAGAGGCCGCUGCGCUGGUGGACGAAAGACCAGGCUUUUAAAGCUCUCCCUUCCCUGCCCCGUUUAUUUCUUCUUCCUGCCCCAACACUCUCCACUGAAAUCGGAGCAGGCUGAAUUGAGUGAUUGAAAGACUCUAUGCAGAUACUGGUGGCUGUGGAAAGUCGUUGCCUGCCUUCUGAGAAAAAACAAAACAAAACAGUGAAAUGAAGGAAAUUCAGUCAACCCAACUUAGCAACAGGGAUGAAAGGCUGAUGAUUUCUUGGAGAAUGUGUCUAAUUAAAGAACCUGGAGAUGUAAUGACUAUAACACCUUCCUGAAAAGGGGAGAGAAAACAGCAAGAGCAACUGUGAACAUGGUGAGGAAACUGAGGCAGAAAGCAGUUAGAUGUUUCACCCAGGGAACAUAGCCACAAAUUGUCUCAAGAAUAAAAUUUGGAUCUUUUGGACUAUCAAUUCAACGCUUUCAUACAGAAGGUAAAAGAGAAUUAUAAUAAACAUCUCUAAAAUCUAUUACCAUUCUAUCAAUGGUAAUUGAUAGCCUUGAUGUCAUAUUGCUUCUCUCUGUACUUUGCGUACUAAAUAUGAUAAUUUGCUGUCCUCCAGAUUUGCCCUAUACUUUUCUGUAUCUGAAGCCCUGGCCACUUGAUUCCCUCUACCUGGAAUGCCCUCUUUCACUUUGAGUCAGCUUCAAAUGCUAUCUAGCUAACUUUCUGACCUACCUGGUCUAAAAUGACAUCUGCUCCUACACAACUCUUGAUGCACAUAGUUUUCAGCUCUUGUAGAGUCAUAUAAUUUUGAAGUUUUAAAAUCAUGUUCAAUGUAAUUGUAGAAAAAUAUGAUCACACAAAAUGAGAAAUGAGAAAUAAGAUA